GCUCCAUAUUUUUUUGGUUUAGCAAAUCUGGUGUGAACGAACCAUCAAUGCAAGCUAUCUCAGAAUUUGAGUAUGACUUUUAAUGAAGGAAAUUGACGAAAAAGGUUGGAGAUGGAGUAACGGAUACUGAUAAGGUCAAAUUCUGAGAUAGCUUCCGUCGAUGGUUCCGUCACAUACUUAUUCUAGGGCAGGUGUAGAUUCAUUGGCUAUUGAUGCAGAUAAUGCACAUACGAAUUUGGCACCGGUCCCUUAUGGCGCUUCAGGAGCAGUGAGCAAAACUCUCAUAUCAUAUCAAACUAAAUCCUUGAAAGUUAAAAGAAAAACAAAUACUAACUACUCAAAUCUAUAACUCAGUUCCUUCUCUUACGGCAGUGCGUUGCUCCUAUUUGGUAAUGAGAGAUGCAUUGAUGUGAGAUUGCAUCUAUCAGAUGUUGCUCGACAGGUGAGCACAUACUCGCAUCUUUUUUGUUGGUUAUGUGUUGUUUAUUCUUUGCUUACGAAUGGUUGUACUAACAAGGCUUGAUGAUAUAAUGGCCAGUGUGCUCGAAUUAGAUAUAUGUUACCAUCAAAAUGUUGUUGUUCAAGGGAAUGAACUUCUUAAAUCUGAUGACGCAUUCUUGCUUAAAGGUAUCGUAGGGAAUGGAACAUCAGCUUUCUUCUCAAUUUGUCCCACAAAAUGGCAUGUCAAUGUUGCAUUUCAUGCAGGACGCUCUACAAGCAACAUCCGGUGCUUAUAGAGUAUUGUUUUAAAUAGUUCCUUUUGGUUCUUUUACUAUUUAUCUUCUUUUUUGAAGCAUUUUUACUAUAUAUCUGAUUAUAUAUGUUCAAACUGCAUCUUUAAAAAAAAUCUGCCUUCAAAUUGUUUCAAUUUUGAUCUCCAUAUUUUGAUUUAAUGGCACGGGAUGAUAGUUGAAUAUCUAUGCUUUCUGAACUCUUUGUGAAGAACAAUACUAUAUUUCCGGUUAAUAUAUGUUUUGUAUUAUUAAUUUACAUGUUUCAAAUUAUUGGAUCGAGUCAAGAGUAUCAAUAUAUAUGUAUGUGUAUGUAUGUAUUUGUUUGUUUUUUUCUUUUUGACAAAAACGGUAUGUGACCGUUGUUAUAGUCAGAUUUUGGACUUCUGUGUUACUUUAUCCUAAGCUUAUACUCUGAAAGCUUACGAGCACCUGCCGAUAAUUUUUUGAAUUUCUCCUCUGCUCUUCAAAAGAACCCAGCGAGGAAUUUUUUCUCCGUCUACCAGUAUUAAGAGCUUCUUCCCAAACUUUCCUUUACAGUCUUGCUCAUAUUGAGCCAAUUAAUUACUUGGUAUGAAGCUUGCGGACUUUAAUUUAUCAUUUGAUCCUUCAGUUUCUCUCAUUUGCACUUUUACCUUCAAGUCUUUAACCAUUUCCACUUUACUACACCUUUAGGACUUGGUGCCGUUGGUUGGGUGUUAUUACUUAAAAUAUGUAAUAUCAAUACUUUGUAAGGCUUUAGGUUUUCAUUUUUCUUUAUACUUUGAGCCAAUUAAUUACUUGGUAUGAACUAUGAAGCUUGCGGACUUUAAUUUAUCAUUUGAUGCUUCAGUUUCUCUCAUUUGCACUUUUACCUUUAAGUCUUUAACCAUUUCCACUUUACUGCAUCUUUAGGACUUGGUGCAGUUGGUCGGGUGUUAUUACUUAAAAUAGGUAGUAUCAAUACUUUGUAAGGCUUUAGGCUUUCAAUUUUCUUUGUACUUAUAAGGAUCUGUUUAAAAACGCAUUAUGUACAAUCUUUGCUAUCAAACCAUGCUUACUAUGUAUCAUGUAUGUACAAUCUUUACAAUGAGCAUCAAUGUCCAUAAGUUUAUAGAAUGCUAACUUCUAUCAGUAGUAGAUAAGGUGAUUGUAAUUUUAAAUAUCUCCAACAAACAUAAAACUUUUCCAUUCUACAUAGUUUUAGAAAGACUUUUAGACUCAAGAAUUGUGGAAAUUUGAUAAUAAUCAGUUCGUCCAUUUUGUUGGUUUGCUUAAUGCAAGUUGUUCAGUUGGUGUGAUCAGGAUUAUUUAGUGUUAAAUACUUAAAUGACAGGUGACUUGAUCUCUCAGUAUGGAACUCUGUGUAGUUGGUGUCAUCAAUUGAUGCAACGGAUGCGUUUUCUAACUGUAGAUAUCUUCAACUUCACGUGCUUUAUGUUACUUGCCUGUACAAGGAAUUCGUGCGAGUAAUUUGUUAUGACACAUGGUACAGUAGGCUCUGGAUUUUUUAAUGCUCAUCUAAUCUAUUGCUUAUUCAUUUUUAUUUUUUUUGAUACCUACUUCAGGACAAGAAUGUUCUGCCUCAUUCGUUUGCGAUAUCAGAGAGCCAUAAUUGUUGAUCUAUUCAUAAUCCACCUGUCAGAUGUAUUUUCAAACUCUACAGGAAAGGGAAAGCCAAACUAGAGUAGAUCUCCCCGAAUUUGUUAUUUAAAUGGAGGAGGAUGCUGUAACUAGCGCUUGCAGAAAGAUUCAUCUUAGAAAAAGGCCCAUGAUGAGAAUCACCGAGACCAAAUCUGCAUCAGCAGAUGUUGUUAGAAAGUAUUGAUAAUGCAUCACUGAAGUCUGUUUGGAGAGGAACUUUUCUAUUAGAAGCAUAUGUGCCACAUUACAUCCAUAUGUAUGCACAACAGAGGAACUCUUAAUUUACAUUAAAAAUGUUUUG